rnacentral:rRNA from 1 species
UUCCUACGGGAGGCUGCAGUGGGGAAUAUUGCACAAUGGGCGCAAGCCUGAUGCAGCGACGCCGCGUGGGGGAUGACGGCCUUCGGGUUGUAAACUCCUUUCGCCAGGGACGAAGCGCAAGUGACGGUACCUGGAGAAGAAGCACCGGCCAACUACGUGCCAGCAGCCGCGGUAAUACGUAGGGUGCGAGCGUUGUCCGGAAUUACUGGGCGUAAAGAGCUCGUAGGCGGUUUGUCGCGUCGUCUGUGAAAUCCUGCAACUCAAUUGUAGGCGUGCAGGCGAUACGGGCAGACUUGAGUACUACAGGGGAGACUGGAAUUCCUGGUGUAGCGGUGAAAUGCGCAGAUAUCAGGAGGAACACCGGUGGCGAAGGCGGGUCUCUGGGUAGUAACUGACGCUGAGGAGCGAAAGCGUGGGGAGCUAACAGGAUUAGAUACUCCAGUAGUA